rnacentral:lncRNA from 10 species
CCCGGGAGGCAGAGAUUGCGAUGAGCCGAGAUCGUACCAGUGCACUCCAGCCUGGGCGACAGAGUGAGACUCCAUCUCAAAAAAAUAAAAUAAUGAAGUGGAAUCAAGGUGGCAAGAAAAUUUAGAAUCGUUUCUGAUAGGGACUUUCCCUUAUCCUAAAUGUGUUUUGAAGGCACACGUUAUUUCCAUUGUCAUUCUGACUUUAGAAAGGCAGGUUGGGGCAUGAGUGGGCAUUUUCCUAAUGACUUGCUGCUAGGAGGUUAUAGGCAGGGAACAGUCUGGGAGUCUCUAAUCCAGAGAGACUUUCAGAUUCCCUCUCUUCACAUGAACCUCCAUUAGUUAGAUUUUGGGAAAGUGAGCAUGAAGAAGGGACUCAGAGCUGCCAGGUACCCGAGUCUCAGGUCUGACAUCCUUGGGCCCCUUCUGCCACAACUUCUUGCCACUUCACGGACUUGAAUUAUGUUGCUUCUUCCUGGAAGUCUGGCCUGCAGCACAGGCCUUUCCUCUCCAAAAAGCUGCUGCUCAUUUCUGGCCCCAUCUGCUGCUAUCUUUGCCAUCAGCCAUCACAGUUUGGCAUCAUCAGAGUCUCAGCUAGAGGAGCUGUCAUUCUGCCUUAGUGUUUGCCUGCGACCUGACCAGGGGCAUGACCAGCUGGGAUGUCAAGUGACAUUUGGGAACUUGUAGAGGCCAAAUGAUUGAAAGUUUAAUUCUUCUCAAGACCCACUGAUUUGCCAGUGUGCAUGGAAAUAAUAGAUUAGAGCAGAAACUAGCAGGGACUGUUGUAUAAUCGUGAUCUACUAGCAGAAUUGGGCCCAAAGAGAAAGAAUUUCUGAGGCUGGGUUUCUUCUGGGAGGGUAGCAGGUUGGUCUUGGCCAGUGCUCUGUUUCCCACCAGUGUUGUUCCCUUUUCCAGCUUGCCUGGCCCGGCUCUGUCUUCCAGGGUCCUGCUCCAGACCCCUCUGCCUGGGGUCUCCCCUCCAUCCAGGGGGUUCUGGGCAUCACAGCUCCUUUUUUUCCUUUCUCCUCUUCCAGAUCCAGUUUCAGCUGGUUUGCUUCUUCCAGCAGGCACCCUUAGGCCCAGGAGCAGCUCCCCUGAGAGAAUUUGAGUCACUCAUUUCCUUGAACAGCACCCCCCUUUAUACUAGCAGCCAUUUGUGCCAUUGCCUGUGCCCUAGGGUUUGUGGGGAGAGAGCGAGGGAUCACUGAGCAGUUUUCCCAGAGCUCCAUGGGAAGGCAAGCUCUCCCUCCCAAUGGGAGCCCCACUGUCACUAACUGUAAACUCAGGCUCAGGCUUCAACUGCCUACCCCCAUCCUCAUAUUUCUGUCUGUCCCAGCACCUCAGGAGCAUUCUCAUUGUGGCCGGCUAACUCCGCCUGGAUGUGAACAGGCAAGCACAGUGGGAAAUGAGUCACGUACUUGUAUUGCACAGUGGACACCUCUAGAGGUCCAUUGGUUUAAAGGGAUAGGGAAGGAGGAGGGAUGAGACCAUCACCCCCUCCCAGAAGUAAAUCUAGUAUCUGAGUUUUCUUUAUGCCCUUGAGUCAAACUAAUAACUGUCUAGUACGGAGGUGUUUGCUGGUUUUCUUCGGUGUUUUUUCUAAUGCAAUAAACUCAUUUCUGCCUGCUG